UUAAGCGACUAAGCGUACACGGUGGAUGCCCUGGCAGUCAGAGGCGAUGAAGGACGUGCUAAUCUGCGAUAAGCGUCGGUAAGGUGAUAUGAACCGUUAUAACCGGCGAUUUCCGAAUGGGGAAACCCAGUGUGUUUCGACACACUAUCAUUAACUGAAUCCAUAGGUUAAUGAGGCGAACCGGGGGAACUGAAACAUCUAAGUACCCCGAGGAAAAGAAAUCAACCGAGAUUCCCCCAGUAGCGGCGAGCGAACGGGGAGGAGCCCAGAGCCUGAAUCAGUGUGUGUGUUAGUGGAAGCGUCUGGAAAGGCGCGCGAUACAGGGUGACAGCCCCGUACACAAAAAUGCACAUACUGUGAGCUCGAUGAGUAGGGCGGGACACGUGGUAUCCUGUCUGAAUAUGGGGGGACCAUCCUCCAAGGCUAAAUACUCCUGACUGACCGAUAGUGAACCAGUACCGUGAGGGAAAGGCGAAAAGAACCCCGGCGAGGGGAGUGAAAAAGAACCUGAAACCGUGUACGUACAAGCAGUGGGAGCCUCUUUAUGGGGUGACUGCGUACCUUUUGUAUAAUGGGUCAGCGACUUAUAUUCUGUAGCAAGGUUAACCGAAUAGGGGAGCCGAAGGGAAACCGAGUCUUAACUGGGCGUUAAGUUGCAGGGUAUAGACCCGAAACCCGGUGAUCUAGCCAUGGGCAGGUUGAAGGUUGGGUAACACUAACUGGAGGACCGAACCGACUAAUGUUGAAAAAUUAGCGGAUGACUUGUGGCUGGGGGUGAAAGGCCAAUCAAACCGGGAGAUAGCUGGUUCUCCCCGAAAGCUAUUUAGGUAGCGCCUCGUGAAUUCAUCUCCGGGGGUAGAGCACUGUUUCGGCAAGGGGGUCAUCCCGACUUACCAACCCGAUGCAAACUGCGAAUACCGGAGAAUGUUAUCACGGGAGACACACGGCGGGUGCUAACGUCCGUCGUGAAGAGGGAAACAACCCAGACCGCCAGCUAAGGUCCCAAAGUCAUGGUUAAGUGGGAAACGAUGUGGGAAGGCCCAGACAGCCAGGAUGUUGGCUUAGAAGCAGCCAUCAUUUAAAGAAAGCGUAAUAGCUCACUGGUCGAGUCGGCCUGCGCGGAAGAUGUAACGGGGCUAAACCAUGCACCGAAGCUGCGGCAGCGACGCUUAUGCGUUGUUGGGUAGGGGAGCGUUCUGUAAGCCUGCGAAGGUGUGCUGUGAGGCAUGCUGGAGGUAUCAGAAGUGCGAAUGCUGACAUAAGUAACGAUAAAGCGGGUGAAAAGCCCGCUCGCCGGAAGACCAAGGGUUCCUGUCCAACGUUAAUCGGGGCAGGGUGAGUCGACCCCUAAGGCGAGGCCGAAAGGCGUAGUCGAUGGGAAACAGGUUAAUAUUCCUGUACUUGGUGUUACUGCGAAGGGGGGACGGAGAAGGCUAUGUUGGCCGGGCGACGGUUGUCCCGGUUUAAGCGUGUAGGCUGGUUUUCCAGGCAAAUCCGGAAAAUCAAGGCUGAGGCGUGAUGACGAGGCACUACGGUGCUGAAGCAACAAAUGCCCUGCUUCCAGGAAAAGCCUCUAAGCAUCAGGUAACAUCAAAUCGUACCCCAAACCGACACAGGUGGUCAGGUAGAGAAUACCAAGGCGCUUGAGAGAACUCGGGUGAAGGAACUAGGCAAAAUGGUGCCGUAACUUCGGGAGAAGGCACGCUGAUAUGUAGGUGAAGCGACUUGCUCGUGGAGCUGAAAUCAGUCGAAGAUACCAGCUGGCUGCAACUGUUUAUUAAAAACACAGCACUGUGCAAACACGAAAGUGGACGUAUACGGUGUGACGCCUGCCCGGUGCCGGAAGGUUAAUUGAUGGGGUUAGCGGUAACGCGAAGCUCUUGAUCGAAGCCCCGGUAAACGGCGGCCGUAACUAUAACGGUCCUAAGGUAGCGAAAUUCCUUGUCGGGUAAGUUCCGACCUGCACGAAUGGCGUAAUGAUGGCCAGGCUGUCUCCACCCGAGACUCAGUGAAAUUGAACUCGCUGUGAAGAUGCAGUGUACCCGCGGCAAGACGGAAAGACCCCGUGAACCUUUACUAUAGCUUGACACUGAACAUUGAGCCUUGAUGUGUAGGAUAGGUGGGAGGCUUUGAAGUGUGGACGCCAGUCUGCAUGGAGCCGACCUUGAAAUACCACCCUUUAAUGUUUGAUGUUCUAACGUUGGCCCCUGAUCGGGGUUGCGGACAGUGUCUGGUGGGUAGUUUGACUGGGGCGGUCUCCUCCUAAAGAGUAACGGAGGAGCACGAAGGUUGGCUAAUCCUGGUCGGACAUCAGGAGGUUAGUGCAAUGGCAUAAGCCAGCUUGACUGCGAGCGUGACGGCGCGAGCAGGUGCGAAAGCAGGUCAUAGUGAUCCGGUGGUUCUGAAUGGAAGGGCCAUCGCUCAACGGAUAAAAGGUACUCCGGGGAUAACAGGCUGAUACCGCCCAAGAGUUCAUAUCGACGGCGGUGUUUGGCACCUCGAUGUCGGCUCAUCACAUCCUGGGGCUGAAGUAGGUCCCAAGGGUAUGGCUGUUCGCCAUUUAAAGUGGUACGCGAGCUGGGUUUAGAACGUCGUGAGACAGUUCGGUCCCUAUCUGCCGUGGGCGCUGGAGAACUGAGGGGGGCUGCUCCUAGUACGAGAGGACCGGAGUGGACGCAUCACUGGUGUUCGGGUUGUCAUGCCAAUGGCACUGCCCGGUAGCUAAAUGCGGAAGAGAUAAGUGCUGAAAGCAUCUAAGCACGAAACUUGCCCCGAGAUGAGUUCUCCCUGAGACUUUAAGUCUCCUGAAGGAACGUUGAAGACGACGACGUUGAUAGGCCGGGUGUGUAAGCGCAGCGAUGCGUUGAGCUAACCGGUACUAAUGAACCGUGAGGCUUAACCUU
rnacentral:rRNA from 3 species